GAUCCUGGCUCAGGACGAACGCUGGCGGCGCGCCUAACACAUGCAAGUCGAACGGAGUUAAGAGGAGCUUGCUUUUCUUGACUUAGUGGCGAACGGGUGAGUAACGCGUGAGUAACCUGCCCUGGAGUGGGGGGACAACAGUUGGAAACGACUGCUAAUACCGCAUAAGCCCACGGAUUCGCAUGGAUCUGCGGGAAAAGGAUUUAUUCGCUUCAGGAUGGACUCGCGUCCAAUUAGCUAGUUGGUG
rnacentral:rRNA from 1 species